rnacentral:tRNA from 2 species
GGCGGUAUAGCUCAGUUGGUUAGAGCAGCGGAAUCAUAAUCCGCGUGUCUGGGGUUCGAGUCCCUGUACCGCCACCA